rnacentral:rRNA from 1 species
UACGUAGGGGGCAAGCGUUGUCCGGAAUCAUUGGGCGUAAAGAGCGUGUAGGCGGCUCGAUAAGUCCGCUCUGAAAACCUGGGGCUCAACUCCGGGCCUGCAGCCGAUACGGGCAGACUAGAAUUCGGUAGGGGAGACUGGAAUUCCUGGUGUAGCGGUGAAAUGCGCAGAUAUCAGGAGGAACACCGGUGGCGAAGGCGGGUCUCUGGGCCGAUAUUGACGCUGAGGAGCGAAAGCGUGGGGAGCAAACAGG